AUAGCACCAAAAUGCAAACAAUUUUUAGAGAUAGCACCAAAAUGCAAACAAUUUUCAGCCCAAGUAUUUGAAGAUCAAAGAUCAAUUUUUCAUGAUGUGAUAUAUGGUCUAACCUUACAACAACAAUGGGGAGCAACGGUCUUGAGAUUAUGUUCUUCCAAGUUUUAGGACGCUCAUAGCCUUGUACAAUCAAAAUAAUCUGCUUCAGUGCNAUCAAAAUAAUCUGCUUCAGUGCAGACAGAUCAGUGCAAAGGCCCAUGAACCCAGGUUCUCAAAGCAAAUCAAACAUGAUUGCUCAUGUAAACAGGAUAAGAUCAAAUGUUAAGUCCACAGACCUAGCUGCUGCAAGAAAAUCAGAAGGAGAAUUUGAAUCCUCCAGUGUUAGCGUCGACAGCAGAAUCCCAGAAUGCGACUUUCUUCUUCCGUGCAGCAGCCUUCUGCUGAGCUUCAACUUCAAGCUGACUAAUCGUCCCGGGGUAAGCUGUGUCGAUGGCGUUCCGGAACUUGUCGUGCAGGUUCACCCUGUCCUUGGUCCCUGACACAAGUUCACUUGCAUUGGGCCUCUUGAGAAAGUCAAGAACAUUCAACAGGUUCCUCCUGGACAUUUCACAAGGAAAGAAAGAGAAACCGUUUUAUUAAGCUAUAUAUUUUUCAUGAAAAAACAUGUUACCUCACAAAAAUAAGUUACUCUCUGCUGAAAUCAUCCAGUUAAACAAUUUGGCAUGUCUAUUCAACCAUGUAGCUGCCCCUGAAACAGGGAUACUGAGCUAAAGCCAAGAGUCGGGCUUAAUCUUCCUUGUUUAAAGGCUAAAUCUUUAUCAAAAUUAUAUGAUUCGGAAGAAGAAGGUUUCAUGUAUAAACUAGGAAACAAGGUUCUUNNNNNNNNNNNNNNNNNNNNNNNNNNNNNNNNNNNNNNNNNNNNNNNNNNNNNNNNNNNNNNNNNNNNNNNNNNNNNNNNNNNNNNNNNNNNNNNNNNNNGAAAAAAAAGAGGAGGUGGGAAGGGAAGGAAGGACUCCCACCCACCAAACCAAGUCCAACUCGGUUUGGGGGGGGAGCCUUCCCCCUUGGACUCGGCCGACCCCCUUGGGGCUCCUUGAUCCCCAAGGCAAGGUCCCCUCCCUCCCACCUAUAUAUACGGAGGUUUUAGGGCUGAUUUGAGACGACUUUUCCACGGCAGCCCGACCACAUACCUCCACGGUUUUUCCUCUAGAUCGCAUUUCUGCGGAGCUCGGGCGGAGCCCUGCUGAGACAAGGUCAUCACCAACCUCCGGAGCGCCGUCACGCUGCCGGAGAACUCUUCUACCUCUCUGUCUCUCUUGCUGGAUCAAGAAGGCCGAGAUCAUCGUCGAGCUGUACGUGUGCUGAACGCGGAGGUGCCGUCCGUUCGGUACUAGAUCGUGGGACUGAUCGCGGGAUUGUUCGCGGGGCGGAUCGAGGGACGUGAGGACGUUCCACUACAUCAACCGCGUUCACUAACGCUUCUGCUGUACGGUCUACAAGGGUACGUAGAUCACUCAUCCCCUCUNNNNNNNNNNNNNNNNNNNNNNNNNNNNNNNNNNNNNNNNNNNNNNNNNNNNNNNNNNNNNNNNNNNNNNNNNNNNNNNNNNNNNNNNNNNNNNNNNNNNUCAAGGAGCCCCAAGGGGGUCGGCCGAGUCCAAGGGGGAAGGCUCCCCCCCCAAACCGAGUUGGACUUGGUUUGGUGGGUGGGAGUCCUUCCUUCCCUUCCCACCUCCUCUUUUUUUUCUUUUCUCUUUGAUUUUCUUUCCUAGGCGCAUAGGGCCUUUUUGGGCUGCCCCACCAGCCCACUAAGGGCUGGUGCGCCACCCUCAUGGCCUAUGGGCUUCCCCGGGGCGGGUUCCCCCCCCCCCGGGGAACUCCCGAAACCCAUUCGUCAUUCCCGGUAACUCCGAAAACCUUCCGGUAAUCAAAUGAGGUCAUCCUAUAUAUCAAUCUUCGUUUCCGGACCAUUCCGGAAACCCUCGUGACGUCCGUGAUCUCAUCCGGGACUCCGAACAACAUUCGGUAACCAACCAUAUAACUCAAAUACGCAUAAAACAACGUCGAACCUUAAGUGUGCAGACCCUGCGGGUUCGAGAACUAUGUAGACAUGACCCGAGAGACUCCUCGGUCAAUAUCCAAUAGCGGGACCUGGAUGCCCAUAUUGGAUCCUACAUAUUCUACGAAGAUCUUAUCGUUUGAACCUCAGUGCCAAGGAUUCAUAUAAUCCCGUAUGUCAUUCCCUUUGUCCUUCGGUAUGUUACUUGCCCGAGAUUCGAUCGUCAGUAUCCGCAUACCUAUUUCAAUCUCGUUUACCGGCAAGUCUCUUUACUCGUUCCGUAAUACAAGAUCCCGCAACUUACACUAAGUCACAUUGCUUGCAAGGCUUGUGUGUGAUGUUGUAUUACCGAGUGGGCCCCGAGAUACCUCUCCGUCACACGGAGUGACAAAUCCCAGUCUUGAUCCAUACUAACACAACUAACACCUUCGGAGAUACCUGUAGAGCAUCUUUAUAGUCACCCAGUUAUGUUGCGACGUUUGAUACACACAAAGUAUUCCUCCGGUGUCAGUGAGUUAUAUGAUCGCAUGGUCAUAGGAACAAAUACUUGACACGCAGAAAACAGUAGCAACAAAGUGACACGAUCAACAUGCUACGUCUAUUAGUUUGGGUCUAGUCCAUCACGUGAUUCUCCUAAUGACGUGAUCCAGUUAUCAAGCAACAACACCUUGUUUAUAAUCAGAAGACACUGACUAUCUUUGAUCAACUGGCUAGCCAACUAGAGGCUUGCUAGGGACAGUGUUUUGUCUAUGUAUCCACACAUGUAAAUGAGUCUUCAUUCAAUACAAUUAUAGCAUGAAUAAUAAACGAUUAUCUUGAUACAGGAAUUAUAAUAAUAACUAUAUUUAUCAUUGCCUCUAGGGCAUAAUUCCAACAAGUACCGCUCGAGAACUUUUAGUAUCGUCAUCUUUGCGGUUGUACUGCGUCGGACUUUUUGCGAAGACUUUCUUGGCGGUGGUUGGCCCGGUUGUAUCUUUGCGCUACCAUGGGCUCAGCGGUAGUACCGCUGCAGCCAGCGGUAGUACCGCUGGAGGGUCGGCGGUAGUACCGCUGUAGCCAGUGGUAGUACCGCCAGAGGGUUAGCGGUAGUACCGCUGGAGCCAUCGGUAGUACCGCUGGGAUCGGGCUGUAAGUGGGGGUAACGGUCUGAUUCCUUCCCCCACUAUAUAAAGGGGGUCUUCUUCCCCCUUGGUCUUAUCCAACCGUUGAGCUCUUGUUCUACCUCCAUUGUUGACAUUCUUAGAGCUUGCUAUCUCUCAAUCCCUCCAAUGAUUCUUGCCUGUUCUUGAGGGAAAAGAGAGAGGAGAUCUAGAUCCACAUCUCCACCAAUCACUUUCUCCUCUAUGUGAGGGGAACCCCUUGGAUCAAGAUCUUGGAGUUCUUUGUGAGCUCCUUGUUCUUCCUCUCAUAUUUCUCCAUAGCUUUCGUUGUUUUGGAGGGAUUUGAGUGUGAGGGACUUGACCACUUCGUGUGUUCUUGCCAUUGCAUUAGUUGCAUCGGUUUGAGUUCUCCACGGUGAUACGUGGAAGUGAGAAGUUGAGAAUCUUACUACCUUUGGUACUUAGUACCCUAGAUAUUGUUCUUCAUCGAUGUUUUGGCAUCCUAGAAGCUUUCUGGUGUCUCGGAGCUCAAUCGUUGUGGUGUGAAGCUCCGGGCAAGCGUUGGGGCCUCCAAUUAGGUUGUGGAGAUUGCCCCGAGCAAUUUGUACGGGUACCGGUAACCGCCCCCAAGGGUUGCCACGUGUACGGGUUCGGUGACUGCCCCCAAGGUUUGCCAUUUGUACGGGUUCGGUGACCUUCCUCAAGGGUCCCUUAGUGGAAUCACGGCAUCUUGCAUUGUGCGAGGGCGUGAGGAGAUUACGGUGGCCUUAGUGGCAUCUUGGGGAGCAUUGUUCCUCCACACCGCUCCAACGGAGAUUAGCAUCCGCAAGGGUGUGAACUUCGGGUACAUCAUCGUCUCCCUGUGCCUCGGUUAUCUCUUACCCGAACCCUUUACUUAUGCACUUUACUUUGUGAUAGACAUAUUGUUUAUUGUAAUAUAUCUUGCUAUCACUUAGUUGUUUAUCUUGCUUAGCAUAAGUUGUUGUUGCACAUAGGUGAGCCUAGUUGUUUGUAGGUUUUGUGCUUGACUAAUUAAACGUUAGUUUUAUUCCGCAUUUGUUCAAGCCUAAACCUUAAUUAUUUUAAAGCGCCUAUUCACCCCCCCCCCUCUCUAGGCGACAUCCACGUCCUUUCAUUUACAAAACAGCAUUUGUUGGGUCUGUUUUGUGAAUAAUUGCACCCUUAAAACUAAGUUACAAAAUAGCAAAAGCACAUCUUGACAUCCACCACAAAAUAUACCAAAUCAUGGGCAUUUAUGAAUCAAGGUUGGGACAAGUGGAUAUUGGCUUGAGAUAUAAAAGAGAGAGAGAGAGGUUUGCAAAUAUGACAAGCCCACUUCACCUAGAACUAGUAACCUCACAUGAAAACAUAGAUCAACCCCAACAGAUACACAACAUCACAAAGUAGCUAACCACAAGUUCACGACAUCUCAAGAAAUGCUAAGAUCAUAACACACAACACAUGACAAGGCAAACAAUGGUAUGUUAUGCAUGCAUGCAUGGGAAGGAAGGAAAAAAAUAAUAAAUACAAAGGUCAUCACAAGAACUCAUGGCACCAAAAAUAUCAUCAUCACUCUGACAAGUUGGACCCACAUGCAAUAGGUUCCAAAAAUGGCAAGGUUUACAUCUGGGGCACUACAAACUCUCCCACACUACAAAGAAGAUCUCGCCCUCGAUAUCUAAGACUGAAAGAAAUCAGGAAAUUCGGAACGGAGGUGAUCCUCGCGUUCCCACGUAGCCUCUUUAUCGGAAUGGUGAGACCACUGCACUUUGAGAAAUUUGACAGUCUUGUUACGGGUCUCGCGCUCAGUCGCCUCGAGAACCGCAACUGGAUGCUCACGAUAAGAAAGGUUAGGCUGGAGGUCAAUAUCUUGAAGAUGCACAAUGCGCUCGGGGGGCUUGAAACACCUCCGAAGUUGAGAAACAUGGAACACAUCAUGGACAUCCGCAAAGGUUGACGGAAGCUCGAGCUGGUACGCAAGGCCGCCCCUCUUGCCAACCACUCUGAACGGACCAACGAAACAAGGCGCAAGCUUGCCUUUGAUGCCAAAGCGCUGCAUACCCUUCAUAGGUGACACCUUGGGAUAGACAAAGUCAUCAAGCUCAUAAGACAUGUCAUGGUGCUUGCUAUCGUAAUAGCUCUUCUGACGGGACUGAGCUGCUCUGAGGUUGUCGCGAAUGAUCCGACACAUCUCCUCAGCUUCUUCUAUCAUAUCAUUGCCAAGGAUCUAAUGCUCGCCGGUCUCGGACCAGUUGAGCGGAGUACGGCACUUCCUGCCAUAGAGAAUUUCAAACGGAGCCUUGCCGGAACUAGCUUGAUAACUGUUGUUAUACGAGAACUCCGCGAAAGGUAGACAAUCUUCCCACUUCAUGCCAAAAGAGAUAACACAGGCUCUCAGCAUAUCCUCAAGAACUUGAUUCACUCUCUCCACUUGACCACUAGCCUGAGGAUGGAACGCUGUGCUGAAGCGGAUCUUCAUGCCCAUAGCAGACUGGAAGGAGUCCCAGAACUUGGAAGUGAAGAUACUUCCGCGAUCUGAUGAGAUCAUCAUAGGCACGCCGUGCAAAGAGACAAUCCUGGAGGUGUACAACUCUGCCAGCUGAGCUGCUGAAAUGGACUCCUUGACUGGAAGGAAAUGAGCCACUUUACUCAACUUGUCGAUGAAGACGAAGAUGGCAUCAUUGCCCUUCUUGGACUUCGGAAACCCGGUGACGAAAUCCAUCUCAAUGUGAUCAAACUUCCACUCGGGAAUCAGCAAAGGCUGCAAGAGGCCUACUGGGCGUUGAUGUUCUGCUUUCACCCUUCGACAUACAUCACACUCGUUUACGAACUGAGCAAUUUCACGUUUCAUACAAGUCCACCAGAAUGUCUGCUUCAAGUCAUGGUACAUUUUGGAGCUUCCAGGAUGAAUAGAGAGCAGAGAUUUAUGAGCUUCUUCCAUGAUCACCUUCCUGAGAUCACCUUUCGGGACGACAAGGCGAUCCUCGAAAAACAACGUGUCCCUAGCAUCAACAGUGAAGCACUUAUACUUGGGGAGACUCUUUCCCACGCCAAUCUUGACCUUCUUCACCAUAGCGUCAAGAAGCUGAGCUGCUAUGACCUGAUCUUCCAAGGUAGGAGAGAUCUGAAGGUUCGCAAGAAAACCCUGAGGUACUAGCUGAAGGUUAAGCUUCGUGAAAGACUCAGAAAGAGCCGGCUGGAGAGGUUGCACAAUCAGACUAUUGCAAUAUGCCUUCCUGCUCAAUGCAUCUGCCACAACAUUUGCCUUGCCUGGCGUGUACUCAACACUCGGAUUAAAAUCCUGGAGCAUUUCCACCCAACGUGUUUGCCGAAGAUUCAAGUUAGGCUGAGUGAAGAUGUACUUGAGACUCUUGUGAUCGGUGAAAACUUCAACCUUACGUUCCAACAAGAGAUGUCUCCAAGUCAUCAAGGCGUGUACAACAGCUGCUAGCUCGAGAUCGUGCACAAGAUAGUUCUUCUCCGCGGGCUUCAACUGCCUGGAGGUAUAAGCAACCACCUUCCUAUCUUGCAUCAAGACUGCACCGAGACCCUGGAGAGAAGCAUCGCAAAAGACCUGGUACGGCUUGGAAUCAUCCGGAGGGGCCAACACCGGAGUGGAGAUAAGCUUCUCUUCGAGUGUAUCGAAAGCCAGUUGACACUCUGGAGACCAAACAUACUUAACACCCUUCUGAAGAAGACUAGAGAGAGGCUUGGUGAUCUUGGAGAAGUUCUCAACGAACCUUCUGCAAUAUCCAGCAAGCCCGAGAAAGCUUCGAAGCUGCUUCACAUUCUGCGGAGGCUCCCAUUCAACAAUGGCUUGAACCUUGGACGGAUCAACCUUAAUGCCCUCGGCAGAGAUAAUAUGCCCAAGAUAAACCACUUCUUUCAGCCAGAACUCGCACUUGGAAAACUUGGCAUAUAGCUUGUACUCUCUCAGUUUAUCAAGCACCAACCUAAGAUGUUUCUCAUGUUCUUCCUCAGUCUUAGAAAAGACCAGAAUGUCGUCGAGAUAGAGCAAGACAAAUUCAUUCUUGUAUGGGGAGAAAAUAUAGUUCAUCAAUCGACAAAAUGUCGGAGGAGCAUUAGCCAGACCAAAAGUCAUGAUCGUAUACUCAUACGAGCCAAAACUAGUCAUGAAUGCCGUCUUCGAAAUGUCUUCCUCGCGAAUGCGAAUUUGAUGAUAACCCAUUCUGAGAUCAAGCUUGGAGAAUACUUUAGCACCUUUCAACUGUUCGAACAACUCAGUUAUGUUCGGAAGUGGAUAUUUGUUCUUGAUUGUCUUCUUGUUCAAUGGACGGUAAUCGACACACAGCCGGUCCGAUCCAUCCUUCUUAUUGACAAAUAGAACACCACAUCCCCACGGACACGAGCUUGGUCUGAUCAAACCCAAACGCUCCUACUCAUCGAGUUGCCUCUUGAGUUCCUUCAAUUCUUCUGGACCCAGCUUGUACGGCCGUUUGCACACUGGCUCUGUGCCUGGCUCAAGCUCAAUGACAAACUCAACUUCACGGUGCGGAGGCAUGCCUGGCAGCUCUUCAGGAAACACAUCUUGAUAUUCGCAGACUACUGGGACUUGCUCAAUAGGAUUGAUCUCACCCUUUUCAUUCAAGGAGAACAGACGGAUUGUAUCAUCGCGCGCCGCGAAUAUAAUCACAUCCUCCGAAGAGUGGGUAAGCUUCACUUCUUUAGCUCCACAAUCAAUUGAUGCCUUGUUCAUGGUCAACCAGUCCAUACCAAGAAUCAAGUCGAUGUCGGAAUUGCCCAAGACAUACGGAGAGGCCAGAAAAGAAUAGCUGCCUAUCUUGACAGAAGCAUCCGGAACAACCCAACGAGAACUCAUAAGCAUACCCGGAGAAACAAUGUCCAAAGACCUAGCCAACUCUUGAAGAUGGAUAUCAUGCUUUGCCGCAAAAGGAUAUGACAAGAAAGAAUGCGAUGCACCAGAAUCGAAUAGCACUUUAGCAGGAAUAUCAUUGACGAGGAGGUUACCCAUGAUCACAUCAGAGGAGUUGUCUGCUUCAGCUGCGUUCACCAUGUUGACUCGAGCUGAUCUGGGGUUGAAUUUGACAAGAGCGUUGCUUGGAGGUUUGCCUAGAGGAGGAGGCGGCAGACGGAGCUGAGAAGUACAUUUGUUGGCAUAGUGACCCUUCUGCCCACAUUUGUGACAAGUGACAUCUGCUGGCUGCGGGAACUGAGUCUGAGGAGGCCCUUGCUUCUGAUGCUGGUAUCUCUGCUGGAAGCCAGGGUUGGGUGGGUGGGAAGAACCACGAACACCUAAGUGCUUCAGCUGCUGUGAGUGCCGAGGAGGAGGAGAAACCCAAAACCUCUAUUGCUUCUGAACCACCUGAGUCGAGGAAGAGCUGGAAUCUGUGAAGCGCUUCUUGGAGUUUUCCACCCUGAACAAGGCUGCCUCUGCUUUGAGAGCUAGGUUGUAGAACUUGUCAAACUCCUCGGGAUCGUGCAAUGCAAGAGCUAACUGCAAGUCUUCCUUCAAGCCACCCCUGAACUGAUAGAUCUUGCUCUUCUGAUCCGGGACAUCCUGCAGCGCGUAACGGGCCAGUUCGUGGAACUCGACAUUGUACUUGUACACAGAAUUGCUGCCCUGCUUCAAACGCCUGAACUUCUCACGCAUCUCCUCCAAAAAACUGGAAGGGAUGUAGUGGGACCUGAAGUCACGACAAAACUCGUCCCAAGACAUCACCCUGUCGCCUCUGGAGUCCUUGAGCUGCUGCCACCAUAUAGAAGCAUGUCCCUUCAACUGAAACGUUGCAAACUUGACAUAGUCCUCCGGACACACAUUGCUACACUCGAAGUGUUUGUUCAUAUCCCGGAUCCAAUCUUCUGCAUCAAAUGGCUGGUCGCAAGAAGUGAACGUCUUAGGCUGGUUUGACAGGAACUGACUCAGAUUGGCGAAGUGAUUUCCACCUUGCUGGAAAUUGCCCUGCUGAUGAUUGGCUCUCUCCUGGAUCAACUGUAACAGCAUCUGAGUAUUUGCAUUAGUAGCUACCAUCAUCGCCUGCCAGGCCUCUGCAGGAGGAGGCGGCGGAGGAGGAGGAGGAGGAGGUGGUGGAGGUGGCAUAUCCGCACGCCCUGGGGUCUGACGAGUCGGUGGAGCCAUCCUGAAGACAGACAGCAUAUUAGUCCACAGAAUAAUUGAAGAUAUUGCAGAAUCAAAAGACAGAAUAUCUGAAUAGAAUUUAGCAUUGCACUCUAACAACAUAGCAAGAAUGCAUCCUCAAAGUGACGGGCGACAAAAUUCCAAUAAGGACCACUGCAAACAAGUGUGAGCUAGAACUGCUCGGAACAAACAUAUGACCGAGAUUUCCCAAACCUCAAUCAAGCGUCUGUAAGAAGAUAGUCCUAUAAGAUACUACUAGAUAUCCCACCUAUGAAUUCCUGAAAUAACUGGUCGUGCAAUCUGGUACACGGAUACAAGGAGUAUUUCACACAACUCCUAAACUAACCCGUCACCUGUAUCACAUCCUUCAACACACAACAAGCAUCUCGGACCUUCAUCUACAAUAGAUCCUCGUGAUCACAACGAUACCAAGUGUGGUAGUACCCCCAAACAAUCUACACCAGUACUGGGGACAUCGGGGUUAUCUCACCACUACCAGUAUUGAAGCAAUAACGAACACCCUCCCUUCUUAGAUACUCAGAAAUCUGAAUGAUGGCGAUGUGCGCAAGAAUCCCCCGGAGCUCAACUCCCCUGAUACUUAGAGCAGAUAGGAGGCACCAGGACAGGAUUCCUUCACAUCGAAAUCAUAUAGAUUUCACAAAUACCCGCGUGAUCCUAAAAAAAAUUUGAGCGUGAAAAGGAGUAGAGUUAAAGAUUUCCUAAGACGGGAACCUCACCACAGCAUAGAAGAGGAGAAAAAAGAAUCCUACUCUCCGAUAUAACUAAGACUCAAAACAUUUUCUAGACUCGACUCGGCCAAGUACGAUCACACAAAGGCUCCUAUGGUCGUAAGCCUCUGAUUACCAACUUGUAACGACCAAGAUGCGGUCCUUUCCGAUCUGGGGAUCGAAGCCCCGAAUAGGAAAGAAGCGCAUCUAAGCGUUUCGCAAACGGGUAACACAACACAAUAAUAAUAAAGGUAGACAAUCCGGGAUUCAAUUGUCUUCUUAUAAAUAUCUCAGAGUACAUCACAGAUACAAACAAGGUAGUUCCGCUGCGGACUACAAAACAUAGAAAUGCUAUGCUACCCUGCCUGCAAGCCCACGAUCACGACCACGCCUCAAUCCUCUGGAUAGUUCACGUAGAGGCGGUCUGUCUCCUCGUCGUACUGCAACGUCAGCUGAGUGCCGUCGGGAUCAUCUGUCUCUGGGGUACCUGUACCUGUUGGGAGAUUUGGAGGAAUCCGUGAGCCACGUGGACUCAGCAAUCUAAGACCUUGGUGCCAGAACUAGUCAUGUUAAUAGGUAGGGUAAGGUGAAGUGUAUAAGGCUGUAGCAUCCUAAGCUUGCUUUGGUGGCUAACUUACGUAAAGCAGUUAUGAAGGUGCUCUACACUAGCGGUCGUGAUUACUUGAUCACUAAGUGAUCCUGAACACCUACCUAUGGCAUUCAUAACCCCACCGUGUUCCCGAUCAAAGAGAGAUCUUCGAGGGGACAGUCACGGUUACGCACACAGUUGGCAAUUUUAUUAGCUUAUGUUUGAGUUAUCUAAUACCGGAUGUUAACAAAAUAUCCCAAGUUGCCACAUAACCGCGGGCACGGCUUUCUGAAAGAUUAAACCCUGCAGUGGUGCUCCAACUAGUCCAUCACAAACGUACACAGGCCGCAAAGUCAUCCUAUAUCACGACUCUCGUGAUCUCGUCGGAUUCCUUAGAGGAAAACCUCAACUCUCGGGGAAACCAAAGCUUCACUGGGAUUCCUAUACGCAAGAUAUACCGCUAAGGUAAGGCAAGGCUAGCAGGACCUCCCGACGUGUCGACGACCCUAAUAAGAGCCGCGUAUCUCAGUCUCAGGACACGCCGGAUGAGUCACACUACAGGUAUACCAAACCUCAGGUUGCCCUAUGGUGGCCCCAUAGUCUGCCCAGUUUGGACCAACACUCAUGAGGAGCACUGGCCCAGGUUGUUGAUUAAAUUCCUCGGGGUAGCUACUCCCUAUGCAGAUUAUUAUUAAGUGAUUAGCAAAUUAACACCAAUGUUGGGUCCUGCCGGACAAGCCUUAGCACUACGCGAUUUACCGAGGGGGUCCCCAUAACAACCCCGAACGUGUUAGGAGCGAUCAUUAUGGAAUCAAACACCGGUAGCCGGUAACUAAGGCGGCAAUAACGGAACAAAGCACCCGGUAAAAGGCUAGGCCUUCCGUCAUUUACCAAGUAUAUAGGUGCAUUAAUUAAAUAACAUAAUUUAAGAUAAUGAUAUCAAGCUCAUGUUAUCACAUGAGUCAAAGCACCUGCAUCUAGCAACGCUAACAUUAGUAGCUGAGCAAAGCCUACUUAGCCAUACAAGUGUUGCUAGGAAGGGAUCAGUGUUUUGGGUUCAUGGCAUAACAGGAGGCAAUAUAAUUCAGUGGUAGGCAGCGAGCAAUAUGACAUGGAAAUGCAAACUAGCAUAACAAGUCUAGAGAUGGAAUCAAGGUCAUAUCAUCUUGCCUGUAAUAUCCUCAGCUUGGAAUGGUUCUUGUUCGUCCUGCACGUACUCUCCCGAAUCCACGUACUCGUUCUCCGAUCCCGGUGCUACCCAACUUAAGAAUAACAUCCAAUGAACAACAGCACCUCGAGAUGCAACAAGCACAUGAUGCAUGAGAUGAAAGAUGAGCAUGCAUCACUAUUUCUAACUCUAGCAUAAGAAAAAGAAGUUGCUACAAAUUUCUGGACAGAACUGUACAGCAAGCUAUUUUGUCAUGCAUGAGAAUGACAUGAUCAGAUGCGUCUCGUGAAAACGAUGCAAAACCAUAUAAAGAACAUUACAAUCGGAGCUACGGAUCAACGGGAAUCAACGAAACAAGGUAUGAAGCCCUACGUGUCCAAAACAACACCACACACUCCAAUGGCACAAAUCUGGUAUUCCCAGGUUGCCAAGACAUAUAACCAACAUGAAUGGAUUGGAGCAAGGAAGAACACCACAACAUCAACUAAUCACCCACAAUCAUCAAAAUGACUAUACUACACAAUCUGUCAUAAUCUGCAUCUUAGCUCUUUGUGAGCUACAUGCAACAUAGCUACAGCCCUCCAAAUAUGACAAAUAAUAUAUGUGGUUGUAGCCAACCAAGAACACUACAAGCACCAGCAAGAAUCACACCAAAAGGAAUUAAACACAAGAAGAUACAAGGCCACAAACUUUCCCAAAACCAUCAGAUCUCAGGGACUUAGUGAAAAUUCCUGCACCUGACUUUCUGUCUUUGUUCUGAAGCUUUUUGACAGCAACCAAAACAUAACCUACAGGACUCCAAAUGAGAUGAAAUUUGACAAUGAGAUUCACAAACAUAUCAGGUCCAAGUUCCUAGCACUGAACUAAGGCGAGAUCACAACACAAUGACCAGAACAACCUCAUCUAUAGGAGAAGAAAAUGUUUUCAGAUUCCCAGACUUAGUGAAAUUCCAGAUUUCACUAAGCUGGAAUUUCCAGCCACAUGCCCACUUUGGAUGGGCACCACUUGCACACAUGGAUUACAAAUCAUGAAUUGAAACCCACAUGUGGUAGAUGGGGUCACCCUCUACUACCACAACCAAUAAUCAAAUACAAGAGCACAUCAGCAUGCAUGGAACCAAGCUCUAAACUUAGAAGAAAAUGCAAAUAUGAUUUUCCAGAAAAAUGCUCCAAUGGAAAAAAUGAUUUCACCAAUGGAUUCCUUGGGAAAUUCUACCACAAAAAAUGUAUAAUAUGUGGGCACUUACUUGGAACAAGUGACCACAAAUUAAGGAAGAGGAAACUCCUCCAAAUCAUGACUAGGGAAUAGUGCAUCAUUUCAUGUAGUUCCUCUAUAUCAACUACCACAUGGUUGAGCUCAUGUGCACAAUGAAAAAGUGACAUGGGGGUUUGAACCACAUGUUUGUGUCAUGCACAUCAACUUCACAACCCCUUCUACUAAGCUUCCCAACAUACAAACCACCAUGNUGUGUGCAACACACACACACAUGCACAUCUCUCACAAGCACCCAAACAUACACCUCAUCACCUACCACUACUACACAAUACAAUCAAGGAGAUAAAAUGCCAAUCUCAACUAAGGUGAAAAGCACAAGACCAUAAGCACAUGCAUCACUACUCUACUAAGUGCAUAUUCACACACACAAGAGCAUCACCACUUACUCACAAGCCACCAACAAUUACACACACUUGGAGGUUAUGAGGGGAGGUAGCACAAACAUAGAUGCAACAAAAAUGGCUACCUCACUACCAAGAACAAGGCUGCUAAAAAAUAGUGAAACAGAGUACAAGGGCAGGAAAAAAAAUAAAGGGAGGUACUGGGGGUCGAACCCCAGUCCUGCUGCUCGAGCACACGCACACACAAAGCAGCCACCACUCUGCUACGGUCACUGAUCUGAUCAGAGAGGGGGUGCUCUCCAGGUAUGGUAGAACUGCCUGCUACUGUGUCGAAGAAAAUACAUGAGAAAGAAAAAGGGUUGCCGAGGGGAGGGAUCGAACCCAGGCCCUCACCACUAGCACACCACACCACAUACCACUGGGCUACGCUACGAAGUUUGAACUAAAACGCGCAACGAAUCAACUGAAGGAGGUCCCCUCUGCUAAACUGCUACCGGCGGCAGACCGGAACAGGGGAAGACUCUCCCCGGCGACAUAGUCCAAAUCGAGCAAUGGCUCGUGGAGGGGAGGGAGCCCGCACACACACGAACUCAUUCCCUUUGCUAACUACGCCCGAGCCCAACUACGGUGGCCUAGCUACGGUGCACGGCGGCGCCGGCGACAGAGGCGCAGCACGUCGACGAUCUGCUGCUCCUACACAACGAGCUACUGCAGGGAAGGGGAUAGGAGUCGGACCUGCUCACCCUAGGGUAGGAGAACUCGGCCGCGACAGAGAGGAAGCAGGGGAAGAAGAGGUGGUCGUCGUUCUGGCCUGCUCGUCGGGGAGGGUCGUCGCCGUCGUGGAGAAGGGGAAGCAGGGGAGCUCGCGUUGAUCUGGCCAUGGGGAUGGGUUCGUGGAUGACCCCGCAUGCUCGCCGAGUCGUCGGGGAGGGAGGAGACGCUCGUACCCGGCGGCGAGGAGGACCUCAAUCCACUGCCAUGGCGGAGGAGCUCUACCUUACCUGACACAGAUCUUCAGAGAGCGAGGUGGAGAGGGGAAAGGAGGUGGCGGCGCGAGAGAGAGGAAACCCUACUGCACGGACGCCAAGGGGCUCGCCUUUAUGGAGGGAAGGAGCGAGGAACGUUCCUCGACGUCCGUGACGCCGUCAAGUUGACGCUGCUCUGAAUCCUGCUAGAGGGAGCACUGACGGACGAAGUGGGGGCGAACACGCCGUCUACAGGAGAGCCAUACGCGAGAGAGGGCUGCUGGGACUGCUAGUGGGAGGAGGCCCACUAGUUGGCGCCAGAUAGGAGAGGAGAAAAACCUGAGGGGUUUUCUAAUUAAAACAACCAGGGAAAAGGAAGUAAUUCACAGACAAAUCUGUUGGGGUUAAAAACAAAACAAAAAUGCCCCUGGUCAUAAGGAAUUAUGACCUAAUUGAAUAAAAUAGAAAAGUAAUGUCUGCAGCAAAUAAAUAUUUACAAAACAGCAUUUGUUGGGUCUGUUUUGUGAAUAAUUGCACCCUUAAAACUAAGUUACAAAACAGCAAAAGCACAUCUUGACAUCCACCACAAAAUAUACCAAAUCAUGGGCAUUUAUGAAUCAAGGUUGGGACAAGUGGAUAUUGGCUUGAGAUAUAAAAGAGAGAGAGAGAGGUUUGCAAAUAUGACAAGCCCACUUCACCUAGAACUAGUAACCUCACAUGAAAACAUAGAUCACCCCCAACACAUACACAACAUCACAAAGUAGCUAACCACAAGUUCACCACAUCUCAAGAAAUGCUAAGAUCAUAACACACAACACAUGACAAGGAAAACAAUGGUAUGCUAUGCAUGCAUGCAUGGGAAGGAAGGAAAAAAAUACAAAGGUCAUCACAAGAACUCAUGGCACCAAAAAUAUCAUCAUGACUCUAACAAGUUGGACCCACAUGCAAUAGGUUCCAAAAAUGGCAAGGUUUACAUCUGGGGCACUACAGAGACCAACAACGAGAGAGGUUGUAGAGCAUCUUCAUACCUUUGAAGAUCGCUAAGCGGAAGUGUUACUAUGAACGCGGUCGAUGGAGUCGUACUCGCGGCGAUUCAGAUCGCGGUCGGUUCCGAUCUAUCUGCCGAAUCACGGCACCUCCGCGUUCAACACACGUAUAGCCCGGUGACGUCUCCCGCACCUUGAUCCAGCAAGGAGGAGGGAGUGGUUGAGGGAGAGCUCCGGCAUCACGACGGCAUGGUGGCGGUGGAGCUACGAGGUCUCCCGGCAGGGCUUCGCCAAGCACCGUGGGAGAGGAGAAAGAGGAGAAGCAGGGAUGCGUCGAGAGAGAGAUUUCAUGUGUCUCAAAUCAGCCAAAAGCUCCACUAUAUAUAGGGGGAGAGGGAGGGGCGCCCCUUUAGGGUUACCACCCCCAAAGGGUGCGGCAGCCCCAUCUAGGGCUGGUGGUGGCGGCCACGGCAAGGGAGAGGGGGGUAGCGCACCCCAGAUGGGCCUUAGGCCCAUCUGCACUAGGGUCCCCCCCCCUUCCCUCUCUUGUGGCACCUUGGGCCUAGGUGGGAGGCGCACCAGCCCACUUUGGGCUGGUUCCCUUCCACCUUUUGUCCCAUGCUAGCCUUUGGGGCUGGUGGCCCCUCCCGGUGGACCCCCGAAACCCUUUCGAUGGUCUCGGUACAUUACCGGUGUCGCCCGAAAUAAUUCCGGCGACCAAAUCCUCACUUCCUAUAUAUAAUUCUUUACCUCCGGACUAUUCCGUAGAUCCUCAUGACGUCCGGGAUCUCAUCCGGGACUCUGAACAACCUUCGGUAACCUCGUAUAACAAUUCCCUAUAACCCUAGCGUCAUCGAACCUUAAGUGCGUAGACCCUACGGGUUCGGGAGGCAUGCAGACAUGACCAAGACACCUCUCCGGCCAAUAACCAUCAGCGGGGUUUGGAUACCCAUGGUGGCUCCCGCAUGUUCCACGAUGAUCUCAUCGGAUGAACCACGAUGUCAAGGAUUCAAUCAAUCCCGUAUACAAUUCCCUUUGUCUACCGGUAUAGAACUUGCCCGAGAUUCGAUCAUCGGUAUCCACAUACCUUGUUCAAUCCCGUUGCCGGCAAGUCUCUUUACUCGUUCCAUAGCACAUCAUCCCAUGACUAACUCCUUAGUCACAUUGAGCUCAUUAUGAUGAUGUUCUACCGAGUGGGCCCAGAGAUACCUCUCCGUCACACGGAGUGACAAAUCCCGAUCUCGAUUCGUACCAACCCAACAGAUACUUUUGGAGAUACCCGUAGUGCACCUUUAUAGUCAACCAGUUAUGCUGUGACGUUUGAUACACCCCAAGCACUCCUGCGGUAUCCGGGAGUUGCACAAUCUCACGGUCGAAGGAAAAGAUACUUGACAUUAGAAAAGCUUUAGCAUACGAACAACACGAUCUAGUGCUAUGCUUAGGAUUGGGUCUUGUCCAUCACAUCAUUCUCCUAAUGAUGUGAUCCUGUUAUCAAUGACAUCCAAUGUCCAUGAUCAUCUAUUGAUCAAUGAUCUAGCCAACUAGAGGCUUGCUAGGGACACAUUGUGAUCUAUUUAUCCACACAUGUAUUACUGUUUCCUGUUAAUACAAUUAUAGCAUGAACAAUAGACGAUUAUCAUGAACAAGGAAAUAUGAUAAUAACCAUUUUAUUAUUGCCUCUAGGGCAUAUUUCCAACAGUCUCCCACUUGCACUAGAGUCAAUAAUCUAGUUCACAUCACUAUGUGAUUGCAAUGAAUUCAACACCCAUACAGUUUUGGGUUUCGAUCAUGUCUUGCUUGUGAGAGAGGUUUAUAGUCAACGGGUCUAAACCUUUCAGAUCCGUGUGUGCUUUACAAAUUUCUACGUCAUCCUAUAGAUGCUACUACGCCCCAUAUGGAACCAUUCCAAAUGAUUGCUCCACUAUACGAAUUUGGUUUAUUACUCAUAGUCCUCGGAUUAGUGACAAAGCUUGUAUCGACGUAACUCCUUUACGACGAAUUCUUUAAUCACCUGCAUGAUUGAGAAAAAUUCUUUAGUCCAUUAGUUACUAAGGAUAACUUCGACCGCUGUCUAGUGAUCCAUUCCUGGAUCACUCUUGUACCCCACGACUGACUCAUGGCAAGGCAUGCUUUAGGUGCGGUACACAACAUAGCAUACUUGUAGAGCCUACGGCUGAUGCAUAGGGGAUGACAUUCGUCCUUUCUCUUUCUUCUGUCGUGGUCGGGCUUUGAGUCGUACUCAAAUUUACACCUUACAACAUAGCCAAGAACUCCUUCUUUGAUGAUCUAUUUUGAACUCCUUCAAAAACUUGUCAAGGCAUGCAUUUCAUUGAAAGUUCCAUUAAGCACUUUGAUCUAUCUUUAUAGAUCUUGAUGCUCAACUCUCAAGUAGCUACAUUUAGGUUUUCCUUUGAAAAAACUCCUUUCAAACAACCCUUUAUGCUUUGUAGAAAUUCUACAUUAUUUCCAAUCAAUAGUAUGUCUACCACAUAUAUUUAUCAGAAAUUCUAUAGUGCUCCCACUCACCUUUUGGAAAUACAAGUUUCUCACAAACUUUGUAUAGAACCAUAAACUUUGAUCAUCAAAGUGUAUAUUCCAACUCCGAGAUGCUUGCCCCAGUCCAUAGAGGGAUUGUUGGAGCUUUGCAUACUUGUUAGCACCCUUUAGGAUCAACAUAUCUUCUGGUUGUAUCACAUACAACCUUUCCUCAAGGAAACCGUCGAGGAAACAAUAUUUUGACAUCCUAUCUGCAAUAUUACAUAAAUGAUGCAGCAACUGCCAACAUAAUUUCAAUAGACUUUCAACAUCUUGCGAGUGAGAAAGUCUCACCGUAGUCAACUCUUUGAACUNNNNNNNNNNNNNNNNNNNNNNNNNNNNNNNNNNNNNNNNNNNNNNNNNNNNNNNNNNNNNNNNNNNNNNNNNNNNNNNNNNNNNNNNNNNNNNNNNNNNNNNNNNNNNNNNNNNNNNNNNNNNNNNNNNNNNNNGUCAACUCUUUGAACUUUGUCGAAAACACCUUUGCGACAAGUCGAGCUUUCUUAAUGUUGACUUUUCACCAUCAUCGUCAUCUUCCUUUUAAAGAUCCAUUCACAGUUAAUAGUCUUAUGACCAUCAAGUGGUUCCUCCAAAGUCUAUACUUUGUUUUUCAUACAUGGGUCCUCUCUCAGAUUUCAUGGCCUCCAGCCAUUUGUCAAAAUCCGGGCCCACCGCCGCUUCUCCAUAUCUCGCAGGUUCAUUGUUGUACAACAACAUGACCUCUAAGAUAGGUUUACCAUACCACUCUGUAGUAGUACGCAUCCUUGUCCGCCUAUGAGGGUUUUGGCAGUGACUUGAUCCUAAACUUCAUGAUCACCAUCAUAAGCUUCCACUUCAAUUGGUGUAGGCGCCACAGGAACAACUUCCUGCGCCCUGCCAUACACUGGUUGAAGUGAUGGUUCAAUAACCUCAUCAAAUAUCCACCAUACUCCCACUCAACUCUUUCGAGAGAAACCUUUCCUCGAGAAAGGACCCGUUUCUAGAAGUAAACACUUUUGCUUCCGAAUCUGAGAUAGGAGGUAUACCCAACUGUUUUGGGUGUCCUAUGAAGAUGCAUUUAUCCGCUUUGGGUUCGAGCUUAUCCGGUUGAAACUCUUUCACAUAAGCAUCAGAGCCCCAAACUCUUAAGAAAUGACAUCUAAGGUUUCUCUAAACAUAGUUCAUACGGUGCCAUCUCAACGGAAUUGAGUGGUGCCCUAUUUAAAGUGAAUGCGGUUGUCUCUAAUGCCUAACCCAUUAACGAUAGUGGUAAUUUGAUCAGAAAUAUCAUAGUAUGCACUAUAUCUAAUAGUGCACGAUUAUGACAUACGGACACACCAUCUGACUAUGGUGUUCCAGGUGGCAUGAGUUGUGAAACAUUAUUCACGUGAAACAAUUUUCACCUUGUCUUAAAUGUUUACCAAACUCGUAACUCAGAUAUAUAUGAUUACCUCCACGAUCAUAUUGUAGACAUAUUAUCCUCUUGUCACGAUGAUCUUCAACUUCACUCUGAAAUUACUUGAACCUUUUCAAUAAUUCAGACCUGUGUUUCAUCAAGUAAAUACACUAGUAUCUACUCAAAUCAUUUGUGAAGUAUGAACAUAAUGAUAUCCACUGCGUGGCUCAGUACUCAACGGACUGCACACAUCAAAAUGUAUUACUUCCAACAAGUUACAUUCUUGUUCCAUCUCACUGGAAAAAGAGGUCUUCAGUCAUCUUGCCCAUGUGGUAUGAUUUGCAUGUCUCCAGUGAUUCAAAAAUCAAGUGAGUCAAACGAUCCAUCCGCAUGGAGUUUCUUCAUGCGUUUAUACCAACACGCAUGGUUUGCAUGUCUCAAACAUUUCAAAAAAUGAGUGAGUACAAAGAUCCAUCAGCAUGGAGCUUCUUCAUGCAUUUUAUACCAAUAUGACUCAAGCAGCGGUGCCACAAGUAAGUGGUACUAUCAUUACUACUUUGUAUCUUUUGGCAACAAUAUUAUGGACAUGUGCAUCACUACGAUCGAGAUCCAAUAAACCAUUCAUUCUAGGUGCAAGACCAUUUAAGGUAUCAUUCAAGUAGAUAGAAUAACCAUUAUUCUCUUUAGAUGAAUAAUCGUAUUUUUGCCAUUAACAUAAUCCAAUCAUGUCUAUGCUCAACGCAAACACCAAAUAACAAUUAUUUAGGUUUAACACUAAUCUCGAUGGUGGAGGGAGCGUGCGAUGUGUGAUCAUAUCAACCUUGGAAACACUUCCAACACACAUCGUCACCUCGCCUUUAGCUAGUCUCUGUUUAUUUCGUAGCUUUUAUUUCGAGUUACUAACACUUAGCAACUGAACCGGUAUCUAAUACCCUGGUGCUACUAGGAGUACUAGUAAAGUACACAUCAAUAUCAUGUAUAUCCAAUAUACUUUGUCGACUUUGCCAGCCUUCUCAUCUAUCAAGUGUCUCGGGUAGUUCCUCUUCAGUGACUGUUCCCCUUAUUACAGAAGCGCUUAGUCUCGGGUUUGGGUUCAACCUUGGGUCUCUUCACUAGAGCAGCAACUGGUUUGUGUUUAAUGAAGUAUCCCUUCAUGCCCUUUCCCUUCUUGAAACUAGCGGUUUCACAAACCAUCAACAUUUUAUGCUCCUUUUCGAUUUCUACUUCCGCGGUGUCAAACAUCGCGAAUAGCUCAAGGAUCAUCAUAUCCAUCCUUGAUAUGUUAUAGCUCAUCACGAAGCUCUAGUAGCUUGGUGUCAAUGACUUUGGAGAGCUAUCACUGUCUCAUCUGGAAGAUCAACUCCCACUCGAUUCAAGCGAUUGUAGUACUCAGACAAUCUGAGCACAUGCUCAAUGAUUGAGCUCUUCUCCUUUACUUUUGCAGACAAAGAAUCUUGUCGUAUAUCUCAUACCUCUCAACAAGGGCACGAGCAUGAAAUCCCAAUUUCAUCUCUUGGAUCAUCACGUAUGACAUGCGACGUUCGAAACGUUUUUAACGCCUUAAUUCUAAGUCGUUCAAGCAAUAUGCACUGAACUAUCAUGUAGUUAUCAAAAACGUGUAUGUCGGAUGUUCGCAACAUCCAUAGAUCACGCUUGGGGUUCAGCACACCGAGCGGUGCAUUAAGGACAUAAGCCUUCUGUUUAGCAAUGAGGACAAUCCUCAGUUAACAGACCGAGUCCGCAUAAUUGUUGCUUCUAUCUUUCAACCAUAUUUUCUCUAGGAAAGUAUCAAAUAUCGUGGAGCUAUAGCGUAAGUUACAACAUAAUUUGCAAAGACCCGUUUGACUAUAUUCAUGAUAAUUAAGUUCAUCUGAUGAACUCCCACUUAGAUCAACAUCCCUCUAGUCAUCCAAGUGUUACACGAUCCACGUCGACUAGCCCAUGUCUGAAUCAUCAUGUGAGACGGACUAGUCAUCAAUGGUGAGCAUCUCCAUGCUGAUCGUAUCAACCAUACGACUCAUGUUUGACCUUUCGGUCUCCUGUAUUCGAGGCCAUGUUUGUACAUGCUAGGCUCGUCGAGUCAACGUAAGUGUUCUGCGUGUGUAAACUGGCUUACACCCGUUGUAUGCGAACGUUAGAAUCUAUCACACCCGAUCAUCACGUGGUGCUUCGAGACAACGAUCCUUCACAACGGUGCACACUUAGGGGAAUACUUUCUCGAAAUUUUCAUGAGGGAUCAUCUUAUCUUUUCUACCAUCGUUCUACGCAAUAAUAUGUAAAAGAACAUGAUAAACAUCACAUGCAAUCAUAUAGUGACAUGAUAUGGCCAUUAUCAUCUUGCUCCUUUGAUCACCAUCUUUGGGGCACCAUGAUCAUCAUCAUCACCGGCAUGACACCAUGAUCUCCAUCAUUGUGUCUCCGUGAAGUGGUCAUGCCAAUCUAUUUCUUCUACUACUAUAGCUAACGUUUAGCAAUAAAGUAAAGUAACCAACAUGGCGUUGCAUCUCAUACAAUAAAUUAAGACAACUCCUAUGGCUCCUGCCGGUUGUCAUACUCAUCGACAUGCAAGUCGUGAAUCCUAUUACAAGAACAUGAUCAAUCUCAUACAUCACAUAUGCAACAUCACAUUCUUUUGGCCAUAUCACAUCACAUAGCAUACCCUGCAAAAACAAGUUAGACGUCCUCUAAUUGUUGUUGCAAGUUUUACGUGGCUGAUUUGGGUCUCUAGCAAGAAUGUUUCUUUACCUACGUGACAGCCACAACGUUGAUAUGCCAAUGCUAUUUACCCUUCAUAAGGACCCUCUUCAUCGAAUCCGAUCCGAUUAAAGUGGGAGAGGCAGACACCCGCUAGCCACCUUAUGCAAUUGGUGCAUGUCUGUCGGUGGAAUCAUUCUCACCUAAGAGUACGUGUAAAGUCGGUCCGGGCCGCUUCAUCCCACGAUGCCGCCAAAUCAAGAUAAGACUAGUAACGGCAAGCAAAUGACAAAAUCAGCGCCCACAACUAUGCCAUGCUUUAAUGGCAAGCAAAUGGUGUGAGACAUAUGUUAUAUCUUCCCUAUCCUUUUUCUCAUUAUUAUCUAUGUUAUUAAUAGCUUGUGAGUCAUAUUAUCGUGUGCCUGUAUCCUCAUGCUCACAUGCUAUGCCAUGCUUCCAUUUAUAUUUAUCUACUCUUUUAUGUAGAAAGGAUGGCUCGGUCUAUAAAAUCUUGGGGCAGUGUUCUCUCUUUGGUUGUUGUUGGUAUGCACAUAUCCAGGGGGAGCUAGUCUCUAGUUUUUAGAUUUUGGAGUUUGCAUAUGCAUUAUCUAUAUCCUUAUGUGCAAAUCCUGCAUUGUCAUCAAUCCACCAAAAAGGGGGAGAUUGUUAGGGCAUAUUUCUCCUAAGUGGUUUAAGUGGUUGAUGACAAUAGCUGUGCGGACUAAUCAUGUGCAUUGAGCAUUUCAGAUUAUUCAUAUCUAGGCACAAGACGAUUCGAUGCCCUUCAGAGUCUCUCGAAGACGGUCGCUUUCUACGUUUCUCUUUGGUGGUUUUGAGUCGUAGGAAAUCCGUUCUAUUAAGAGGGGGCCUGCGUCGGAAAGGUUUGGGUGGAAUCAUCAUGUACACACUUAGUGCACCCACUUUCUUUUGGCUUCAAUGGAGCUCCUUACCCAUAUUCGUGCUCUAUGCAAAAAGGCCAGCGGUAGUACUGUUGGUGUCAGCGGUAGUACCGCUCUCACUACCGCUCCAGGAGCGGUACUACCGCCCUCAGUGCGGUAGUAAUUUUUUACCACUGCUCCAAGGGCGGUACUACCGCCCUUAGUGCGGUAGUAUUUUUUUACUACCGGUCCAUCAGACUUUUUCGCAUACUUUUCCACCCGUAGUAGUAGGCACGGUAGUAUUUCAGUAGUACUGUGGUUGUUGAGAUGCAGAGCGGUAGUACCUCUCUCAGGAGCGGUAGUACCGCUUGUCUUUUAUUGUGGUGGGUGGGUAACAGUUGGAUCUGAGCCCCCCGCUAUAUAAAGGCAUCUUCUUCCUCAAGGAGCUCACCUUUAACCUCUCUAAGCUCCAUUGUUGUUCCACAAGCUUACUUUCGCCCGAUUUUUCCCUAGCCAAACAAACUUGUUGAUUUUGUAGGGAUUGCUUGAGAAGGCUUUAGUCUACACUUCCACAAAAGGAUAUUUGAUUCCCCCCCACUAAUCCCUUGCGGAUCUUGUUACUCUUGGGGUGUGUGAGCACCCUAGACGGUUGAGGUCACCUCGAAGCCACAUGCCAUUGUGGUGAAGCUUCAUGGUAUAGUUGGGAGCCUCCAAGCUUUGUGUGGAGAUAGCCCCAACCUUGUGUGUAAAGGUCCGGUCCCGCCUUCAAGGGCACCAAUAGUGGAUUCACGGCAUCUCGCAUUGUGUGAGGGCGUGAGGAGAAUACGGUGGCCCUAGUGGCUUCUUGGGGAGCAUUGUGCCUCCAUACCGCUCCAACGGAGAUGUACUUCCUGUCAAAGGGUAGGAACUUCGGUAACACAUCCUCGUCUCCACCGGUUCCACUUGCAGUUAUCUCUUACCUUUACCUUGUACUUGUAAUUGUUGUGGUGAAUUCUUUGCUUGCACUUGUUAUCCUUGUGGCUAGCAUCAUAUAGGUUGCUCACCUAGUUGUUCACAUAGAGAACCUUUUGUUGCUAAUGCUAAUUUGUUAAGACAAGCUAAAAAUUGGUAGUUGCCUAUUCACCCCCCUCUAGUCAACCAUAUCAAUUCUUUCAAUACCCUCGAAUACAACCCAUAAUUCAUCAAAAUAAGAAAACAACACAAAGAAAACAGAAUCUGUCAAAAACAGAACAGUCUGUAGAAAUCUGUUUACUUUGAAUACUUUUGUAACUCCAAAAAUCACUUUCCAGUGAAUUUACAAAAUUCCUGGACUGAGAGCGAAAGUUUCUGUUUUUCAGCAAAAUCAACUUGCAAACACCGUAGACCAUCCGAAAGGUCUUACUUGGCUCAAACACUAAUUAAAACAAGAGAAUACAAUUAUUACAGAGAUAAUAAUCUGUUCAGAACUCAAAAACAGAAGAAAAAACAAAAGCAUAAAAAUAAAAUUUGGUUGCCUCCCAACAAGCGCUAUUGUUUAACGCCCCUAGCUAGGCAUAAUACAAUAGAUCUAGGUAUUGUCAUAAUAGUAAGGGAGAUCAUUAAUUCUCUUCUCAUACUCCCUUCUUUAGGUAGCAAGUUUCCUUUGUGACAAGCAAAAGUAAUCAAAAGGGCUAAAUUUAAUAGGAUAAGGAUCAUUAAGAUCAAGUGUGGGAGGAAUAGGUUCCUCCUUCGGCCCUCUAUAGUGCAUGAUCAAUUCAUCAUUGUAGGCUUUCCUUUGACGGGAGGUCAUAAGUCUAUCUCUUAGUAUGAACUGUAAUCCAUUAUUUUGUAUAACAAAAUCAUCUUUGAGUUCAAAAAUCUUAUCAACCAAAACCUCAAUAGGAAUCAUUUCUUCUCAAAUUUUUAUUAUAAGCAACAUAAACCAGGGACUGCAAUCUCGUUAUUUCUUUUUAUUAAAAAUGAUCUCCUCAAUGGGGGACAUCCACCAUUAAUUUUAUAAUGAGAAAAUUUUCACUGGCCUCUUUCAUAAUGAAUCUAAACUCGUGGGCUAGAAAUAUAGUACCGACACGCUUAACGGAAGCAAGCUGAAUAUUAGAGAACUCAAGAAAAAUCUUUUGUAUGCAAGGAUGCAUAUGAACAAAUUGUCUCUCAAGUUCAAUUAUUAGUAGUGUUAUGGCGUCCGCAAGACUAUUAGUUUUAUUGAGGAUAGACCCUCCUAAAGUAGGUAGCGUACUAGCACAAGUAAAGAAAUCUUGAAUAACACAUUUUCCAAUGAUAUUGUCACUACCUAUGUAGAGUUUUUUUUGCAUGCAUGAUAGUAGGUUCUCUAUGGGAAUCAUCAUUAUCUUCAAGAUUAUUACUAUCCUUUUCAAUGUAAACCUCCCUAGAUUCAGACAUGGUGGCAAUGAAUAGAUCUAGUACACACGCAAGCAAAUGAAAAGACGAACGGAAAAAGGGCGAAUAAAAAGGCAAAACUUUUUGGUAUUUUCUGAAUAUCGUUUUAGAAGUGUGGGGAGAGGAAAACGAGAGGCAAAUGGUAAAUAAAGUAAAUGCAAGAGNNNNNNNNNNNNNNNNNNNNNNNNNNNNNNNNNNNNNNNNNNNNNNNNNNNNNNNNNNNNNNNNNNNNNNNNNNNNNNNNNNNNNNNNNNNNNNNNNNNNNNNNNNNNNNNNNNNNNNNNNNNNNNNNNNNNNNNNNNNNNNNNNNNNNNNNNNNNNNNNNNNNNNNNNNNNNNNNNNNNNNNNNNNNNNNNNNNNNNNNNNNNNNNNNNNNNNNNNNNNNNNNNNNNNNNNNNNNNNNNNNNNUUGCGUUGGUUUUUCCUUAAAGAGGAAAGGGUGAUGCAACGAAGUAGAUAAGUAUUUCCCUGAGUUUGUUGAGAAACAAGGUAUCAAUCCACUAGGAGGAACAAGCAAGGCCCCAAUCGUAGUACCUACACAAACAAUCAAACACUUGCACCCAACGCUAAAAAAGGAUUAUCAAUCCCUUCAGAGUUAUUUGCAAGGAUGAGAUCUGAUAGAGAUAGAUAUAAAAAGGGUUUCAUUGGACACAACCUUUCAUAGGGGAGGUUUAUUUGUAUUGACACACCCAUUAACAAAUAUUAUAUUUUUUAGAGGAGAAGGACUCCAGAGCCAACUCCAUUACAUUGCUAAGUGAAACCAAGGGCCAGUUCUUUUGACGGAUUCUCCCAGAAUCGCCUCUCUCUACAGCUUCUUCCAGAAUCGUUACUUCAUUUUUUUACAAUCCUAACUAUAUUGUUCAUCCCAUAAUAUAAGAGCGUUCUUGAGACUAAUAGUUUUAAGAACACUCUUAUAUUAUGGGACGAAAGAAAUAUUUUUUUGUGAGAGUGAAAGGGUUGUAUUACUCAAUAGCCAAGAAGGUCCUCCCUACACAAUCUAGUGACAUUGUCUGGGUCAGAUCGGAGUCAGACCACAGUUCGGUCUUGUGAUCUCCCAUAAUUUGCUAACGUGUGGUUUAUAUUAUUUUACUCUCGAGAAAUAUGAGUCACUCUACGCUCCCUUUCCCUCAUAAGACAUCUCACCUCCGAAACCACCAUGGCGUACUGCGAGCGGUCUUGGCCUGAUACAAAGAUCAACUGCACCGUUUGCAAACUGUCACGCUCAACGAUUAAUGGCAACUCCGUCCACUGGAGGGCCAACGCAAUUCCCUCCAUGCAUCCAACAAGCUCGACAUGCAGAAGGUCCGGGCACGACCGAAGCAAGUGACAAGCUGUAAAAAUGAUGACCCCUUCUUGAUCACGGAGCACCAUACCCACCUCAGCCCUUCCAUCAUCAUGGGAGAACGAGGCGUCGACGUUCAGUUUCUCGCCCAGUUGGUCGGCGGGGGUCGCCAUAUCCGGGGCGGCCGCGAUGCGCCGCUCACACACGGUAUCGGCUGCUUCAUCUCUGUGACGGACGAAGGAAAUAAUUAUUUUUACAAUCCUAGCUAAUUAAUUUUAUAAUCUUAUCUAAUUAGCUAGAAUUGUAAAAAUAUAUAUAUAAUGACAAUUGUGAGAGAAGCUGGAAAGAAGGGCGAUUCUGGGAAAAUCGAAUAAAAAACUGGCCUCAAGUGUGACAUAAUAAUGCUUACAGGCCCGCCGGAGAGCAGCAGACAUCACUGCCUCAGCAGUUAACAAACAAGUUUAUCAUCUUUGAACAUUCCUGUGAAAAAUAUGCUAUUCAUCGGCCACAAAAAAUAGCCCGCAAGCUUGAGUGAUACGUGUAUCCCCGUCUGCCGGCCGGCAGAGUCGUUGUCCCCUCAGCCGUCCAUUUUUUCCUCUCCUCUCCUCCCUCCCUCCCUCCCACCCAGCUGCUAUCCUUUGUGCUUGAGUCUCUUUGUGCUUAGCUACGUUACACGCACCAACUCCACCACCAAGAACUGGGUCCGCCACUCCACCGGGUCCUAUCCGCCGGCGCUGUGCUCCGAUGAGCAGCUCCGACCCGAUCGACCACAUGUCGGUGAGCGAACGUCUGCAGCGGCUGGCGACGCCGUCGGCCCCGGCGGAGGACGACGUGGACGUGGACGGCGAUGGCGACGGUGCGACUUUCCGGGACAUCCACCCGUCCCCGGCGCCGGCGCCGCUGCGGCAGCCCUCCUGGGACGUGGCGAGCCAGCGCUCGCUGUCGUCCUACUCCGACGAGCAGUUCAUGGCCAGCAUGGGCCGCGAGUUCAACGCCAUGGUGGACGCGGGGGGCGGACCGCCAACCGACCCUUGCCCCGGUCCCGGGGACUCCGGCGCCGCGAACAACGACCUGCAGCUGGCGCGGAUCGGGGAGCACGAGCCCGUGCCGGAGACGAACCCGCUGGCCAUCGUGGCGGACGCCGGGCGCCCGCUGCCGCUGCCAGCGGGGCCGUCGUCGUCGUGCGCCCCGGCGGCGGAGGUGGUGGAGGUGCGGCAGGUGAAGAAGGACGAGGCGGAGGCGAAGGUGGCGGCGUGGCAGGCGGAGGAGGUGGCCAAGAUCAACAACAAGUUCAAGCGGGAGGAGGUGGUCAUCAACGGGUGGGAGAACCAGCAGAUCCACACGGCCACCACCUACCUGAGCAAGAUCGAGGUACUUGAUGGAUUCCUUCUUGUUCAACCCUGAUCUUGUGUUCUGAUGGACGUAAAAUCAAGAAUUGCUGGUUUGGUUUGGGUUGGGUUGCAGAGGAAGCUGGAGGAGGAGCGCGCCAAGGCGACGGAGAAGGCGCAGAACGAGGUGGCGCGGGCGCGGCGGAAGGCGGAGGAGAAGCGGGCGUCGGCGGAGGCGGCGCGCGGGACCAAGACGGCCAGGGUCAUGGAGCUCGCCAACUUCAUGAAGGCCGUCGGCAGGGUGCCCACCAAGCGCUCCUUCUUCUCUUUCUCCUCCUCCUCCUAAGACAUGACACGGCCGCCUUCUUCACCAACCAUCAAUUUCCUGUUUUUGAUCGACUUCGAUCUGUAUUAUUGAAUCCAGGGAUGUAACUGUACAGUGUUUAAAACAUUUGCUGGCUUGUAGCCUUGUAUGACUGUAUAUUAUUGAAAACAUUUUAAGGCUUAGCAAUGGAGUAGCGGCUUAAUUGGCAGCUGACCUGCUUCCUUGGAAUUUUGCCGUAUCUGUCCGUCGUCGUCCGUUUGAGUCCACGCGGACAGAAAAAACGGCUCAACGCGUGACCUAAACGUACGCGCGUCCGUUUUUCGUCCGUCUGUCGACCCAUUUUCGACCAAAUUUUAAGCCCAGUUUGGAUCAGUGCGGACACAAAGCGCACACGGAUGACGCACACGUACUCCAUCCCCUGACCCAUCAGUUGAUGGCACAUUGGUCGUUCUCCACCCCUAUCGACAACACCGACAGCUAGCCCUCGCCUCACCCCCAGUCCCGUCGCCGUCGCCGCUCAGUUCUGGUGACUCCUACCUACAACGGUCACAACUACAACAAAUGAUACUAUCUAGGUUGAGUUUCAGGGUGACAAUGUGGUGCCUCAGCAUGGCGGAGAAGCGGCAUCAUCUGCACAGUUCACCCUAAUUUCAUCAUGAAAUGCGUGAUUAAAAAACUCAUAUUCAGUUGUAAGAUGAUUUGGUUAAGCAUAUAUGGGAUCAUGUUGGCAAUCAAUAGGUGUAUCUUUUAGAUAAUUUAAUUUUUAUUAAGCUUGUAAAACUUUGCUAUAUUUUAUUUUCGGUUAUAAAACUAUACUAUUUCAUUUGCUUUUAAAAAAUAUGCAAAAUGUUUGUAUUUGUUAAAAAUCGGUGGUUAGCCGGCUACGCGGACAAAUAUGAAUCUGCGCGUUGGGCGCGCUGCUGACCCAAAUCUUAAACUGGAGGAACAGAGAGCCGACAGAUGACCCAAACGAACAAAAAGCAGAUAAAAUUAUUCAUUUGGAUCGACCGGUUGGAGUUGUUCUAAUCUCAUAUCUAUUCUAAAUUGUUUUUCUAAACUGGCGUAAAUAAUUUCUUGUGAAAUAUUCGAUCGAGGCCCUUACUUUGCGUGUGACUGACUGGAAGUGCUGAGUCAACUUCGUGAGAGAUCUGACCUGACCUGCAGGCCACCUGCCCUUCUCCUAAUGGCAAAGCCAAAUUUCCAUGGCCUUGGUGGAAUAUCUUCGGGUCUGGAUGAAAGCUCAUAUGCGAUGCGAGAGCGAUUUAACUAAGAGCAUCUCCAACCGCUGCGUAAAAAAUCCGCGUCCAAUAAAUUUUUUAACGUGUCACUGUAGUAGUUUUGAAGCGCGGGGACCGGAGCAUCUCCAACAGACGCGCGCUAGUGCGGCGCCCAAUCCAGUCCGAUACAGCGGUCCCAUCUGCAACCGCUCAGAGUUUGGUGCGCGCGCAAGCCGGCGCACCAAAUAUGCUGUGCGCGAUAACGUUUUUAAACGCGCGCCCAGAAGUUUUUAACGCGCGCAGCGUUUUGCAGCUUCUGCUGGAGCAGUUUGGCGCUUAAAAAAACGAAUCUUUUAGCGCGCGAAGCAGUUUUUGGACGCCUGUUGUAGAUGGCUCUAAAGCGUGAAAGUGACCUGGUGAUAUGACCAUUCCCGAAGCAUAUACUCCCUCCGUUUUAAAAUAUAAGACCUUUUAGAGAUUCUACCAAGAGACUACAUACGGAGAAAAAUGAGUGAAUAUAUACUUUAAAAUAUGUCUAUAUACAUUCGUAUGUAGUUUAUAAUGCAAUCUCUAAAAUGUCUUAUAUUUAGGAACGAAGGGAGUAUCAGACAGAUGAGCUGGAUCCCACUGCGUGAUACCGUGCAAUGGAUAUUCAAGCCCUUCUCGCAAAUAAUUAUUUCCCCCGAUUCUAAAUGUAAACGAAAAUGUUUUUUGAAGCCCGGCCUUCAUGAAAACAGGUUUUUAAAAAAAACUCAAAAUCCAUAUUUUUACAAUUUUAAAUAAUCUAGAAUAUAUAUAGUUAUACAUGAAGGCAUAACACAUGUGUGUAAAUUUUUAGGACGAAAUACGUUGAAAUGAGGAUUGUGCGAAAAAGAUAAAUCUAAGCCUUUUUAACACAUGAUACUAUUCAUCCUCAAAGUUCAGAUAUUUGUCUUUUCUAUACAGGUCGCAUUUAAAGAUAUUUCAUCCUGGAUUUUUACACACAUAUACAUUUCAUCCUUGUAUAGUUGCAUAUUUUUUCAUAAUAUUUUAAAGUCAAAAAGUUUGAAUUUUGAAUUUUUCAAGAAUAAAAAGGGCUCCAUGGAGCUUGGUCACCAAAACGCCCUACUCAAAUUUAAGUCCUGAUAAAGAUUGUAUUACAAACUACAUAGUGAUAUAUAUAGACAUAUAUUAGAGUGUAGAUUCAUUAUUUUGCUUCUACCUAGUCCAUAGUGGAAUCUUAAGAAAAACUAACUUAUAUUUAGAAACCAAAGAAGUAAUAUUCAAGCCCAAAAUACGAAAAAUAGAAACUAAAAAAAUAAUAGGAAGAUAAUGAACUGAUUUACAGCCAUUCUGCUAAUAUCUUAGGCCUUGUUCGGUAAUCAUCCACUCCGGAGUGGGGAAACAGCAGCUCCGCCAUUUUAUACAGCAGCUCCGUGAACUCCGCUCAUGGAGUUGUGGAGCGGAGCGAUACCGAACAGAGCCUUAAUUGAAAAAAAAAAGAACCCCAUGGAAAUACUAUUUCCCUCUCAACAUAUAAGGCAUUUUUGUAGACUAGUUAAAAUAAAUUGAUUCCAAGUAUUCUCUACUGGGUUUGAUGUUCAUACAAAUUUACUAACACUUUAUAAAUAGUUUUUAGAAAAUAGGUUAACAUAGAAAUGUUUUUUUAGAAGGUAACAUUGCAUGUAUUUAUGUAUGUGGUUUCGUAAACCUUCAAGACCUUCCCAGACUUUAAAGGAUAAUAUGUAAAAAAAUCAGGCGAAGAUUGUGCAAGAAUUCAUAGCAGAUGGGCAUCUUUCCACUCAGUUAAAAAAAAUCAAGGUAUCGAUAAAACCCAAAUUUACCACCAACGACACCGGAUGAAUAACAUAAUGCAAACAAUUUUUNNNNNNNNNNNNNNNNNNNNNNNNNNNNNNNNNNNNNNNNNNNNNNNNNNNNNNNNNNNNNNNNNNNNNNNNNNNNNNNNNNNNNNNNNNNNNNNNNNNNNNNNNNNNNNNNNNNNNNNNNNNNNNNNNNNNNNNNNNNNNNNNNNNNNNNNNNNNNNNNNNNNNNNNNNNNNNNNNNNNNNNNNNNNNNNNNNNNNNAAAUGCAAACAAUUUUCAGCCCAAGUAUUUGAAGAUCAAAGAUCAAUUUUUCAUGAUGUGAUAUAUGGUCUAACCUUACAACAACAAUGGGGAGCAACGGUCUUGAGAUUAUGUUCUUCCAAGUUUUAGGACGCUCAUAGCCUUGUACAAUCAAAAUAAUCUGCUUCAGUGCAGACAGAUCAGUGCAAAGGCCCAUGAACCCAGGUUCUCAAAGCAAAUCAAACAUGAUUGCUCAUGUAAACAGGAUAAGAUCAAAUGUUAAGUCCACAGACCUAGCUGCUGCAAGAAAAUCAGAAGGAGAAUUUGAAUCCUCCAGUGUUAGCGUCGACAGCAGAAUCCCAGAAUGCGACUUUCUUCUUCCGUGCAGCAGCCUUCUGCUGAGCUUCAACUUCAAGCUGACUAAUCGUCCCGGGGUAAGCUGUGUCGAUGGCGUUCCGGAACUUGUCGUGCAGGUUCACCCUGUCCUUGGUCCCUG
rnacentral:lncRNA from 1 species